rnacentral:lncRNA from 1 species
UGCAUGGCAUGGUUUAUUGAAAUUUUGUUAGUUUUUAAAGGUUAAUUUGGUAAUUAAGUAAAUUAAUUUAAAACAAAAAGGAAUCAAAAGAUGGUAUCAAUGAUAGCACUAGAAAGAACAUAGGUUUUCCCCCUUACUUAUUGGUUAAAUUGUUCCUAUUUAGUUAUCUUUACCAUUUAUUUUAGCUUUUCAGUUUAGUAAAUUGCAUUUUAUAGCUCAGUGAAUCCUAGUCUAUUUUAUCCUUAAUUUUUCUAGCUUAUUGCAUUAAUGUUGUUGCAUGAGUUAAUCCCAGAUUACAUCUGGAAUUGUCGCCGCACUUGACAAUUGUCCAGAUAAGAACCAAAAUUUCGUGAGCUAUCCAGUCUGGUCCAACCUGUACGUACAAGGACAAAAUAAUUUUAAAGGAAUGACACUUGUACUAUGAGAGGAGGACAUAAAAGGUGGAGUGAGUAGAAAAAGAGGUUUUUUUCUCCACCAUCAUCUUCAUCAUCUUACUUGGAAGCUUGUGGUCAUGGUAGCUUAAGCCUCUCACGGGUGAGCUAACGUGCAAACUGAAUGCAGACUAGCUCCUAACGGGGAGAUCUAAGUGCGAGACAAGAGGGAAUAAAGAGAUUUAGUUGAGUUGUUUAGGAAUAUAAUUCUCCACUUGAUUUUUUCUUAUUUCUUUCUAAAUGUUGGUGAUUACUCUUUGAUUUCUGAUUGUAUGGAAGUACUGAUGAAUUCUUGGUGAAAUGUUAUCUUAUUUAAUCUUACUUUUAUUGUUUAAUCUUGGGUUUGAAUUUUUUUAACACGGAAGUGUUAUUGUAGUGACAGUUUGAUCCAACAAGCAUUUCAACGGAAUUUGAGUGAGGAUUAGAGGAAUUCAGUCCACUUGUUCUUAAUAGUACCGUAUUGCCAUCAUCGGAAGGUGAGGUUAAUAUGCAUGUUUAAGUCUCAGAUUAAAUAGAGAAGUAACACUGGGUAAGAUUUACAUUGAAUCUUAUUGCUUCAACAAUCACCUAUCUUUUUAUACCUUGUGAGAACUUAGUAUUCUGCUGAAGAUUCAUGUUGGGGAUCCCAGUUUAUCAUUAUCAUAUUUUAUUUUAUUGUUUUCAGUUUAUUGCAUCGACAACUAUUCUCACAAUUUAUCUUGUUUCCAUCUAGUUGUUGCACCAACAUUAAUAAACAAAAUACUAUCAUCCCUGUGGGAUCGAUAUUUGACAGACUCAUAUCUGUCUACUAUAUUUUCAUCAAAAGUGUACGAUUGUACAUUAUUGUUGUGACGUUAAACAACCGAUCAAGUUUUUGGCAUCGUUGCCAGGGAUGGCGUUUGUUUGAUGUUUGUUUUUGUUUUUUUGUGUUUUUGCACUUUAUUUUCCUUAUAUAAUAUUUAGUUUUCACUAAUUGGUUUUUCUUUGUUGCUAUUUAUUUAACUUCAAUUUAGGUGUUUUAUGACUUGAAGAAAUUUGGAUUUUCUUAUCGAUUUUGAUCCAGAAAUUGAAAGGACUGUUCAGAGUAGACUUCCAGAACAAAGAAGUAUGGCUCUACCAGGGAACAAUGCAGCCAUACCCCCGAUGCAACAGUAAAAUGUUAAUAACCCAUUGUUGUUGUAAGAUGCUCGUAUACAAAAUAGGAUUAUACGAGAUUUUUUAGUACCUGUUUUGGAUGAUUUACAACUAGGAGUUGUUAGGCCAGCAAUCCAAGUUGGGAAUUUUGAACUCAAGCUAGUAAUGUUUCAAAUGUAGAAUUCUAAUGGACAAUAUGUUGGACUUCCACACGAAGAUGUGAAAGAACAUCUUAAAUCUUUUUAUUGAUCUAUGUUUCUUUUAUUCAACAAGCCAUUCCUGAUAAUGCUUUGAAGAUGCAAUUAUUUCCUUAUUCCUUAUAGGGAAGAGCCCGUACUUGGUUUUUUAGACUACCUGCCAGAUCAAUUACUUUUUGGGAUGCAUUAGCAACACAGUUUAUUUUGCGAUUUAACCCACCGACAAUGAAUACUCGUCUUCGAAAUGAUAUUACUACUUAUCAUCAGUUGGGUGAUAAAAAUCUUCAUACCAUAUGGGAACAUUAUAAAUCUUUACUUCGACAUUGUCCUAUGCACGGCAUUUAACUAGAAACACAAAUUGAGAUUUUUUUUAUAACGGGUUGAAUUUACAAAUAAGGAAUCAUGUCGACGCAUCAGCUAAUGGAUCUCUGCUGGAUUGUACUUAUAAUGAUGCUGUGAGAAUUCUUGAAAGAACUGCUCAGAAUGAUUAUCAAUACCCUAUCUCCAGAGUUGCACAAGCAAAAACUACUCCAGGAGUUAUUAAGUUGGAUGUAAUAAUUGCACUAACUGCUCAAGUUUCUUCUCUCACAAACAUGAUUAAAAUAUGCAAGGGACUAGUGGUGUUGCACCUAUACAAGUCGCUCAGCAAGUUGAUGUUCCUACCUUUUUUGUGAGAUUUGUAGUGAUAACCAUAGCUAUGAAAAUUGUCUGCAACAUGUAGAGAAUGCCUGUCAUAUUAGUAACAUCCGCAACAAUUCUUAUGGAAAUUCUUACAACAACUCUGUACGCAACUAACAGUUUGGAGAAACUCAGAAUGCUGGACAAAUAUGAGAAUACAUCUACUCAGGGCAAUUAUAAUCACAGGUAAAGGAACUACAAUCAACAAAAGCAGAACUACAAUCAGCACACUCAGAUACAUCUACAACAAGGCUAGACACAUCUACACCAAAAUUCGAUGUAGCCACAAUACUAUUCACUACCAAAUCAACAUGUUCAAGGACAUCGAAAACAACCAUACACUAAGCUUCUACUUCUGACCCAUUAGCAACUCUUGAAGUGUUAAUGCGAGAGCAUAUUUCUCAUACGAAAGCUAUCGUACAAGGGAAUGCAUCUUCGAUUUUCGACCAUUGGAAGAUCAAUUAGGACAACUUGCUUCAAAUCCGAAUACUCGACCACCAGGUUUAUUACCUAGUGGCACGGAAAAUCCUAUUCCGAGGGGAAAGAACAUUGUAAGGCUAUCACUCUUAGGAGUGGUAAACAAAUUAGAGAACCGUUUAUCGACUCUACUAUAGCACUUCAAGAUAGAGAUGGAGUGGUCACUGGCGAGAAGGUUGAAUCUAAAGAAUUUUUCAUGAAUCAAACAAAGAAGUUCCACAAAUUGUCACUCAUAUACCCGAUGUCAUACCUUCAAAACUAUCGACGUAAUCAAAGGUGUCGGCGUAAGCAGAUAUAUCUCUACCUUUACCCUUUCUACAAAGAUUCAGGGAGAAUGAGCAUGACAAGUAAUAUCAGUAGUUCCUAGACACACUGAAGCAACUACAGAUAAACAUUCUUUUAGUGGAAGUUCUAGUAAAAAUUCUGAGUUAUGGGAAAUUUAUGAAAUACCUCUUGUCUAAGAAGAAGAAGCUCCCUGAUAUUGAAACUAUUGCACUCACAGAAGGUUGUAGUACUAUUUUGACAAACAAGUUGCUCCUUAAAUUAAAAGAUCCUUGGAUAUUUACCAUCCCAUGUUCAAUUGUUAAUCAUUAUUUGGGUAAGGCUUUAUGUGACUUAGGAGCUAGCAGUAACCUAAUGCCAUUAUCCACUUUCUGAAAGUUGAGAAUUGGUCACAUGAAAUCUACUACAGUGACAGUACAACUAGUCGAUCGAUUUUCUCAAAAUCAUAUCUUUUUACCUUUAAACUGUUCUCCCUCAACAAAAGAUGGCCAAAACAAGAGGCUCGGUCAAGAAAACCACUAAAUCUGUUAGAGAACAUGCGUCUUCUACUACCACAGUUCGUGAAUUAGAAUCCCCUAGGCCAGUGCAGACAAAUGAGCCAGUAAUCAUUUUGAAUAAACAAUAAAUGAAUGAUUUCACAACAAUAUACUGAAGCAAAAAUUCUAUCCCGAGUAGGGCAUUUCCCUUUCGCCACAACAAGACUUGGGUAAGCAAGUCUCCAAAACCAUCUCGAAGUUAAAAUAGAAGACCAUUUACACCCAUCUUGACAGCUACUCUCCUUUACUGGUACGUGAGUUUUAUGCUAAUCUUUACUAUCAUGAGUUAGAGUUCGUUUUCGUUCAAGAAGGUUUAAUACCAUAGGACGCUGCAACAACCAACGAGGUGUACAACACCAAGGUCGAUGUCGAUGAACACUGCAAGUUCAUGGAUGAUAUCACAGAUGAAAAACGAGAUCUGUUGGUGAGAGACUUGUGUGUCAAGGGAGCAGUGUAGAAUGGUUCCCAUAAAAAAAAUUACACGAUGCACCGUCGCUUCCUGACGCUACAAGGAAAAAUUUGGUUUCAUUUUGUCAACUGCAGGCUAAAGUCCUCCACUCACAACACUACAGUCACCCUAGACAGAAUGUGUCUAAUACAUUCUACUGUCAAGGGAAGAAAAUUUGAUGUAGGCGCAAUACUUCACCAAGGCUAAAGUCCUCCACUCACAGCACCACAGUCCCCCUAGACAAAAUGUGUCAAAUAAAUUCUAUUAUUAAGGGCAGAAAUUAAUGUAGGCAUAAUACUUUACCAAGAAAUAGUUGACUGCGCUGCAAGGCAGACUAGGAUAUUGGUUUUCCUAUCACUAGUGAUGUUAUUAUGCCAGCAAAGAGAAAUCGUGCCCUUUGCUGGUGCGAAAGUCUUGGAAAAUAAAGGCCCAAUCAAUGAAGCCUCUAUAGAAAGAAUAACUAGAAGCAAUAACACACCGAUAUUGAAGGAAGCGAAGACCAGCAAGACAAGAAAGGGUAAAGCCAAAUCUGACAAAAAUGGAACAAACUUAAAUGCAGAGACAUCAUUAUGGCAUAAACUAAAAGAUGUCGAAGAAAUGGUAAAUUACAUCAACAACAGGCAAAUUCGGCUUGUCACUAUAGUAGAAGAUAUGGAGAAAUCCCAGAAUUUGUUUUAUGCUUAUACUGGAGCCUGGAAUAGUUCUAUUGUAGCGACAUUAGACCAACUGAGCCCAUCAUCACUAUUUAAGUUCCCUGUAUUUCCAUAAAUCAUUCGCAAUUAUGACCCCUCUUCCUCGGAUGAAGACUUAGAAGGUCGAGAUAAACCGGUGGCAUCCCCACUCAUUAUGCAGGUCUCUGAUACUGAGAAAGAAAAGGAAUCUAGGGAGCUUGAAAAAUGCCUACGAAAGAUUGAUAGCUUGUUUGAUGAUAGUAUUUUUGCUGAUCAAGAGGACACUGUUUUUGAGAAGGAAGUUGCUGCUGCAGAAGAGGAAAUUGUUGCUGAAGAAGAAGAAGUUGCUGGAAAUAAGAAAGAAAAAGAAGAAAAAGAUUUUGUUGAGAUGAUUAUCACCGCACCAGAGUCUAUGGGUGCAAAUAUUAAUAAUUUGGAGUGAACUGGAGUAAGACUGGCGGAAGAUGUUGAGGUAACCAGUGAGGAACAAUGUAAUUCAUUGGCAAUAGUGGUCUACAUUGGACCACUCCAAGUGGCCUCUCCUACACAAACAACAGCCAAUGAUACCGGGACAGAGCCUGGCACUGAGGAGCAAUCUGAAGACUGUGCAAAGCCUAAAGAAAAGAAAAGAAAGAGCUUUAAGAAUAAAAAAAAUAAAAGAAUGAGGAAAAGAAAAAGAGGAGAAAGAAACAUAUGCAUCCACAUCGACGGCUACGGAUAACAUAGUUAGUUUAUUUUAAGCUUUGGUUAUAGUAUUCAUGCAUUGCAUGUAGCUUUAGGUUUUAUUUUGAUAAAUAUAUAUUUUCAUUGCAAUGUUAUUGUUAUUACAUUGUCAUAUUAGUGCAUUGGGGACAAUGCAAACUUUAAGUUUGGGGGAAUACACAUGGGCCUUGGAAAUGCACCCACAUUUCAAAAAAAAAGUCAAAAAUAAAGCAUGUAAGGUUUAAUUAUAGUUAAUGGAAAUUGUUCAAAAUUUUUGUUACGUUCGAUGCUUAAUUCUUGAAUCAUGUAAAUUAUCAAUGAAUGAGUUGGACAAAUUUGACAGAAGGUUAUAGCUUCAAUUUUUUGAUGAAUGCAUUAGGUUGUAUUAGUAAUAGAUGACUGUCAUCAUUCCUUAAAUCUUGAAUUAAUCUACUUUUUACAACUGUUUAUAUAUGCAUAUAUAGUUAUAAAGUAGAGACACUCCAAAGUGGGAGUAAUAUGGAAUAUUAAAAAGAGAACACUUUAAUACAAGUGUUAGAAAAAUCAAUCUGGCCAAAAUCUGUCACUGCAUGAAUGUGUGUCGAUGCAAUUACGUACUCCCUGAGGGUUUAUUGCACCCCAUCGUCACUUCUCAAGAACAAGGGUACAGUAAUGCAACAAUAUCCCUUAUUCCAAAAAAUGUAUAUAUAUACUUAGUAUUGGACAAUAAAUGUUGUAAUGGUAGAUAGAACUUAAGGUUUAAAGCAUGAUGCUAGCUUUGAUGAAGUUUCAACCUUAUGCAUUCAUGCUUAUGAAUUGUCGAUGCAAUAUUCUUUCAUCUGAAUGUGAUUCAUCCAUUAGGAAAUUAGAGGAUUCAAGUUGCUAGAAUGAGCAUUUGCCUUAGUAAAAUUUUUGUAGCCUUGCUAGUUUCUAUUUUACUUGAGGACAAGUAAAAACUCAAGUUUGGGGGUGUGAUAGCACUAGAAAUAACAUAGGUUUUUCCCCUUACUUAUUGGUUAAAUUGUUCCCAUUUGGUUAUCCUUAGCAUACAUUUUAGCAUUUUCAGUUUAGUAAAUUGUAUUUUACAACACAGUGAAUCUUAGCCUAUUUUAUCCUUAAUUUUGCUAUCUUAUUGCAUUAAUGUCGCUAUAUGAGUUAACCCAAGAUUGCGUCCAGAAUUGUCACCGCACCUAACAGCUAUCCGGAUAGGAACCAAAACUACGUAAGCUUUUAGUCUAGUAUAACCAACCUGUAUGUACAAGGACAAAAUAAUUUUGAGGAAAGGACACUUGUACUAUGGGAGAAGGAAAUAAAAGGUGGACGUGAGAAGAAAAAUAGGAGUUUUUUUUCUCCAUCAUCAUCUUCAUCAUCCUACCUUGAAGCUUGCGACCAUGGUAUCUUAAGCCUCUCACAAGUGAGCUAACAUAAAAAUCGGAUGCAAACUAGCUCCUGACGAGGAGAUCUAAGUGCGAGACAAGAAGGAAUAGAGAGAUUCAGUCGAGUUGUAUAGGAAUAGAAUUCUCCACUCAAUUCUUUCUUAUUUCUUUCUAAAUGUUGGUGAUUACUCUUUGAUUUCUAGCUGUAUGGAAGUACUGAUGAAUUCUUGGUGAAAUGUUUUCUUAUUUAAUCUUGCUUUUAUUGUUUAAUCUUGGGGUUUGAAAUUUUUUAACAUGGAAGUGUUAUUAUGGUCACUGACACUGGAAAGUGCAAUGAAAAUUUGAGCCAACAAGCAUUUCAAUGGAAUUUGAGUGAGGAUUAGAGGAAUUGAGUCCACUUGUUCUUAAUAUUGUCGUAUUGCCAUCAUUGGAAGGUUAGGUUAAUAUGCAUGUUUGAGUUUUAGAUUAAAGAUUAAAAGAGGAGUAACACCGGGUAAGAUCUACAUUGAAUUUUAUUACUUUGACAAUCACAUAUCUUUUUAUACCUUGUGAGUACUUAGUAUUCCGCUGAAGAUUCAUAUUGGGGAUCCCAGUUUAUCAUUAUCAUAUUUUAUUUUAUUUUAUUAUUUUCAAGUUAUUGCAUCGACAACUAUUCUUACAAUUUAUCUUGUUUCAAUCUAGUUGUUGCACCGACAUUAAUAGACAAAAGACUACCAUCCCUGUGGGAUCGAUAUUCGACAAACUGACAUCUGUCUACUAUAUUUACAUCGAUAGUGUACACUUGCAUAUUAUUGCUGUGACGUUAAACAACCAAUCAAUCAUCUUUAGUAUUCUUCUCCACCAAAAUUCAAGACAGGAAUAGCCAUUGUUAGCGCUUUGAUGUUCAAAUAUCUUGUGUGUGUGCAUGUAAUUGAUUUCGAGCCCGUUCUUAAUGAUUUUUAUGUUUUUAAGUUCGUUUUAGCUUAAUCUAGCUACCCUAAGGGUCAGUUUGUAAAAUUAUUAAAGGUUAAGGGUUAUGCCAUGAAUGUUCUUAAAUGGUUUUUAAUGUUAAAGGAUAUAUUAUUAAUCUUUGUUGAAAAAUAAACAAGUUUUGUUAAGUGAUUUUUGUUGAAUUUUAGAAUUAGAGACUAAUUUGUUAAAGGUAUAAACUCUAGGGUUUUAUUGUGAAAUGAUGGUAAAUAUUAGUUUUUUCAAGGUCCCUUACAUGUUUGAUUAACAUGGAUUUAGAUUAAAAUGUUUAAAUUUUAAGUUAUAAGCUUAAGGAAUAAAUUGUGAAAAAGUUAAAAUGUUAAGGGAAAAUUGGUAAUUUUGUAUAAAAAUGAAAUGUGGAUUACAUUGAAUACUAGAAAUAUUAAAUUGAUUGAAAUAUCCAUUUAGAUCAAGAUAAACCACGUACAGACCUAGAUCGAAGAAAAGCAAAAGCUUCUGAUUUGUUCAACCUAACUACUACACCUCUAGUCGUCGAGGUAAGUUCGUAUGAAGGUUAUUGUGUAAUUGUUACAUACAUUGAACAUUUUCUAUGUUACUCUUAAUGUAGAUGGGUCAAUAUACAUAAACAUAUCAAUGUUAUGACGAAUUGAAGGUUAUCGAGUCCCUAUUGAACCUUAGGAAUUUUUAGGAUACAAAUGCCAUGUCAUUGGGGAUUUCAUGUUUCGGGGGUUGGUCUUAAAUGUCCUACCGAUUGCUAAGGUCCUACAUUUUUUGCGGAUUCUCCAUAGCUCAUGUGAGCAGCAUAAUGUAGCUUACAUUCCAACCCACAGCUCGUGUGGGUAAUGAUGUAAAGGAAUGAUUAUGGUUAUAUGUAAAAGCACACUUUGUGUGAGCUUUCCCAAUUAUCCGAGGUAAUUCUAAUUGGUUCAAUAGGAAAGAAAAGAUAACGUAAUGGUAAGUAUGUAAAUGGAAUGAAUCAUGAUUUAAUGAAAGGCUUGAUGAACUAAAUGAUGUUGUAUGCAUAUGGAAAAUUUCAUACCUUAUGAAUGAUUUCAUUUAUGUUAUGGAUGAACAUACUAACUUGUGAGUUGGUUAUGUUGUAUAGGUUUACAGUAAGCUUAUGGCAUUGGUAUUGAUUUGUACUUAUUCUAUGAAUUGUAUUAUAGAAAUGGUAAGUUACGUUUUAAGUUUAUACGAGUUUACUAAGGAUUCAUUGCUUUCGUAUUUUCUUUCUUAUAUUUUAUAGAUUAUCGAAAGCUCGAUUUGGUUGGAAGUCCAUCAGAGAUCUAUUACACUAUCUAGCAAACAAUUCGGUAGUUUUUGAACAUUUUGGCCAAGGUUUAUAAUGGCAUGUAUAGGAUUAGAUGUAAUGGUAUUUUGACGAAUGUUUUUUUUUUUGUGUUUUGGCAUGUAUAAGAUUUGAAAGUUAUCUUGGUUUGCUAUUAUUUGAUGCCUUGUGAAAUUGUGUCAUUUUGUUUACCUUAUUAUUCAUGGUUGUAUAGCUUUUUAUGGUAAGUUUGAAAUAGUAUGAUAACGGUCACAUUUGUGGUAUGUUUUGAUAAGUAUUGAACUAGAACAUGAUGCUUGGAUUAGGUAGGUGUGGAUUGAAUGUGUUUGAGGUGCCUUUGAAUGGCAUAAUGGUUAGUUGUAUUAAGAUCUUGAAAUGGCAUUUUGGUGUAUGUUUUGGUGAUUUUUACUUCCUUUUGAAGUGUGCUUAAAUGGGUUGAAAGGUCAUGCAUGAAAUGGUCUUGGAAAUGGCUUGCUUUUAGGUAAAUUUGGGUCCACACUGCCAGAGACACGGGCGUGUGACUCAGCCGUUUGAGACACACGGCCUGGCGACACAUCCAUGUGUCAUCUGAUGAUUUUCUUCUGUUGCAAGUCAGAGAGAUACAUGGCCUGGCACACGGCCAUGUGACACUACUCAAAGAGUUACAUGGGUGAGGACACAGACUGGGAUACAGCCGUGUGUCCCUAGUUUGAUAGUUACAUGGCCUGAGACACGGGUGUGUCUCUCAGCCAUGUGAGGCACACGGUCAUGUGACCCCUAUUUUGUAAAUUUUGCAUCUUUUUCCAAAACUUUUCAAACUAUUUCAAAUUAGUUUUGAAUUGUUUCUAAGUUAUUUUUAGGGUCUCAGGGCUCGAGUUAGAGACAAUAUGCAUAUGUAUGAAUGGUUUGUGAUGUGAUUAUAAUAUUGAAUGAUAUAAAGCUUAAAUGUGGUUGAUUGUAUGAUAAUGUUCCGUAACUGUAAUCUAGAGAUAGAGAUGAGUUAGGGGUGUUAUAUUUAGUGGUAUUAGAGCCACGGUUUAGUCAGUUCUCAAACUGAACAUGGCGUGUAGAAAGCAUUGUGAAACGUAUCUAGCUUACAUAUUUGAUUCUAGGGUUUCAGAAUUGAAACCAGAAUGGGUUUCAACUGUACAUGAGUUCACAGAUGUAUUACCAGGGUUACCACCUAUUAGAGUGGUUGAGUUUGCUAUUGAGUUAGUGCGGGAACAUUUCAGAUUUCGAUAGCUUCUGUGACAACCCGAAUUAGGGCCUAAUCAGAAUAGUUGUUUCGUGACCACAAAUCCGAGAUAAAAAUAAUUGUUUUAUAAUUAUUUUUGGGUUUAUGAUAUGAUUUCAUGAUUUCGUUAAAAUUUCGUGAUGAAAUUCUAUGCAUUGAGCGCUUAAGUUGAUAUUAGGGACUAAAACGAAUAAAUUGUAAAACUCGUGUUUUAGAAGUUUUUAGUAUGAAAUUGCUUUGGGAUAUUAACUAGGAGGUCUUAAAUAGAAAUUUGACCCAUUCCUAAGUUAUGGACAAAAGUUGGACAUGGAGGGAAUUUUUGGAAAGUUUAGUAGUAAGGGCAUUUUGGUCAUUUGUAUAUUAAAUGAAAUAAAAUGGGAAAAAUAACACAAAAUUGGUCAUCAUCUUCACUAGCUGCUGCCGAAAUUUUCUCUCCUCCAUAGCUAGGGUUUCUUCAACUUUCAAGCUUCAGAGUAAGUGAUUUCAAGCCCCGUUUUUAAUGUUCUUCACAUUUUUGAAAUCCUCGUAGCUCGGUUUACCUAUUUCUACCAUUAUUUCGAGUCAGGGUUUAUGUUUAAAAAUUUACCCAUGAAUGAUAGGCAUGUAUUGUGUUGUUUGAUGGUAGAAUAUGAAUGUUUUAAGUUAGGAGAACGAUCUUUUCUAAGCGAUUUUUAACAAAAACGAGCAAAACGGCAUAAUCGAUAAAAAUACCUAUUGUUCAUAACUAUGUGUUAGAGUGAGAAUUUGAUGUUCCCAUAGAAGAGAAAAAUGAUCAGUAGGUCAUUAAACAUAAGAAUAAGGACUGAAAUUAAAUUUCUGAGCCUUGGGGCAAAAUCGUAAUUUUGUAAAAGUUAGGGGCAAAAAUGUAAUUUUUGUAUAAUGUAAUUUUUGGAUUAAAAUAAAUAGUUCGAGUGUUAAAUGAGCUAAAUAUGUUAUUAUAGAUCAAUAAAGGCGUGGAAUCGACCUCGAACGGGGGAAGGAGAAAGUUUUGGACUAAAUUGCAAAAUGCCCAUAUUUUGCACCGAGGUAAGUUUGUAUGUAAAUAAUACAUUAAUUUCAUUUACAUUCUUAUAUUUCAGCCUAUUAUAUAUAUACUAGCUGAUGUUGAAGUAUAAAUCGACUAUUGGAAGAAUGGAAAUAAGUAAUAGAGAGAGAGAUCCCAGUUGAACAUUCGGAAAGAUUGAAUAAAAUAGAGGGAGCAUAGCUAGGUCACAUGUAUGGUGCUGAGUGCACAUCAUGUGUACAAGAAAGCUACGAGAUACUAUGUAGUAGCUAGGUCACAUGUGUGAUACGGGAUGUAUCCCAUGUAGACAAGAGAGCUACGUGAGAGAUAAAUGUAGCUAGGUCGUAUGCGUGAUUCCAAGUGAAGGACACCAUGUAGACAAGAGAGCUACGAGACAAAUCGGCUAGGUCGCAUGAGUGGUACUAAGUGUUCACCAUGUGGACAAGAGAGCCGAAUUAAAUGAAAUAUGAUGGUGGGGCUGUGUGCUAAAACCAUCAAGUAUCGAGGAUUAAUCCGAAUUGUUCAAUGGGAUGGCUUUGUGGUGACAUUGUAGUCAUGGGCCUAUACUUGUGAUGUAUGAAAUGUGGUGAAAAUGAUUUGUGAUAUAUAUAUAUAAGUUAAAAUGAGGUUAGUACAAAGAAUGUGUGAAAGAGUGAAAUUAGCAUUAAAACUGUUUUGGGCAGUAGCAGUGACGUGAUUUUUAAAAACCACCAAAAAUAGAAGGAAUUUAAUUAGAGGUUUAAUGAGAUGUUAAAUUAAAUCUUAAUUAGUCUAUUUUCAUAUAAAAGAAACAGAGUAGGAAAAGGAAUUCUAUAUUUUGAGAUAUUUACAAUUGUGUGUGACUUGCUCAGGAUGACUAUGUGAUCCCCUGUUCCAAAUUUGAAAAAUCAUUAAAAAUUGUACAAAAAAAAUUAAUAAAUAUAGUUUAUAUGACUAAAUUCCUUAUUGAGUCUAGUUUUAAAUGAAACAGGUUUCAUGGUUAUUUGAGUUGUGUACUAAGAGAAAUUCAAUUCAUAGUAAAUAGAGGUCAAAUCAAUUGAGCUGUGUAACAGGGGAAACUUUAACUAAUAAACUGUACUAAUUGGCUGAACCAAAAAUUCUAGAAAAAAAAUUAGUAAGAAUUUUUAUGAGUCUAGAUUUAGGAAAAUUUUACGGAUUUGAAUUUUGAGUUUCGUAACUCAAGUUAUGAUUUAUUUAGUGAUCAUGACGCAGGAGGGACAGCUUGAUCAAAUCGGAGUAAAUAGUAAAAUUAAAAAUAUGAUAUAAUUGAGUUAUGUUGUAAACAUAUUAGAUUCCUUAUUUGUUAUUUAUAUACUUACUUACUAAGCUAUAAGCUUACUUUCUUUUCUCUCCUUUGUCUUAUAGUGUCAUCCAGCUAGCACAGGAGUUAGAGAUCGUUGAAGAUCCGCCCGCACUAUCAAUACUCUUGGUAUUCGAACUCAACAUUUUGAAAUAUGGCAUGUAUAGCAGACUUAGUUAUUUAGUUACGUGUCAUAAUUGUCUAGGUUUAAAAUACUAAUUAUAGUAUCAAACUAAUCAUUUUUUACGAAGCCUUUGAAAUUGGUUUGUAUUGUUAAUGGCAUAUGUUAUAAUGAUUCAUGAUCAAAUUGCACGCCAUAUUUUUGUUGGGUUUUAUUUAAUAGUAUAUACUAUAAUUUGUUAAUACCUCGUACCCUGUUCCGGCGACGGAUACGGGCAAGGGGUGUUACAUUUAGUGGUAUCAGAGCUAUGGUUUAGUCGGUUCUCGGACUAAUAAAGUGUGUGUAAAAGUCUAGCUAUACAUGCCAUAAAAAUAUUGUGAUAGUGUGGUGACUCCUGAUUAUUCUAAACUGUGUUUUGUUUUAAUAUAGUAAUGGAUCCUGAAAGAACUGUGGCUGAUGAUGCUGCUAGUAAUGCGCCGACUUCCGCACAAGGGACCGCGCCUGUGGAAAGUAGACCUGAGACAUUGAGACAGGGAGAUGAGGCUCGGGAUGCCUUUCUCCAAAUGAUGAACAAUUGGUAUACUGAGUUUAUUCGAGCAAAUCCAAAUGCUCAACCUCCUCCACCCCCUCUCAUACCUCAGACGAUUCCUGUAGUUGCUCAAGGCAUAGAUUUGGUAAGAACGAACAAGCCUCCGGUUGACAAGAUUCGAAAACAAGGGGCCGAAGAGUUUAGAGCAAAGAUCGAUGAUGAUCCUGAGAAAGUGGAGUUCUGGCUUGAAAAUUCUACCCGUGUAUUUGAUGAGCUCUCAUGUACACCCGAGGAGUGCUUAAAAUGUGCUGUAUCACUUUUGAGAGAUUCGGCCUACCACUGGUGGAAGAAUUUGGUAGCAGUGGUGCCAAAAGAAAGAGUUACUUAGGAUUUCUUCUAGGAAGAAUUUAGAAAGAAAUACAUAAGUCAGCGAUUUAUUGAUAAAAAACGGAAGGAGUUCCUUGAAUAGAAGUAGGGCAAGAUGUCUGUGGCAGAGUAUGAACGCGAAUUUAUAAGACUCGGCAAGUAUGCCCAGGAAUGUGUGUCCACCGAGGCCAUUAUGUGCAGAAGGUUUGAGGAUGGGCUAAAUGAGGACAUUAAAGUGCUUGUGGGAAUUUUGGAGUUGAAAGAAUUUGUAGUAUUGGUUGACCAAUCUCUUAAAGUCAAAGAAUUGAACAAAGAAAGAAGAAAAGCUGCUAUUGAGGCCCGAGAUGCCAGAAAAAGGCCGAUAAGCAAGUCAUUUCAAUCUCAAUCAAAGAGGUCCAAAGAGACAAACCCUCGAAUGACAGUUUCAACUGGGGAUUCACACAGAGAUCGUGGUAGAGCAUAUUUGGGGUCUAAAGCUCAAGCUACUUCGGUGGCAAGUGUGGGUAAUGUGCGACCUAGAAAGCUCGAGUGUCAGCAAUGUGGCAGGCAACAUUAUGGUGAGUGUUGGGGAAACGAGCGAUCUUGUUUUGGGUGCGGUUCUCACGAGCAUUUUAUUAGAGACUGUCUGGAGAAAGUUAAAGAAGAAAGAUUUCAGAGUGCUAGACAGAAUACCACCGCUAGCAGAGGUAGACCACCGAGAAAUACUAGAGGUGGGACUAGCAGUAAAACUGCGAUGAAAGAUUCAGCGGCGAGAUCAGAAGCUAGAGCGCCUGCUAGAGCUUAUGCUAUACGUGCCCGAGAGGAUGCAUCAUCUCCCGAUGUCAUUACUGGUACAUUUUCUCUCUAUGAUACUAUUUUUAUUGCAUUGAUUGAUCCCGGGUCCACUCAUUCCUAUAUUUGCAUGAAUUUAGUAUCUAAUAAAAAGUUGCCUGUUGAGUUUACUGAGUUUACGAUUAAAGUGUCGAACCCCUUAGGCCAAUAUGUGCUAGUUGACAAGGUUUGCAAGAAUUGUCCAUUAAUGAUUCAAGGUCACUGUUUUCCGGCUAAUCUGAUGCUGUUACCAUUUGAUGAGUUUUACGUUAUUUUGGGAAUGGACUGAUUGACAUUGUAUGAUGCCAAGGUAGAUUGUAAACAAAAAACACUAGAGUUGAAAUGUGAAAAUGGAGAAAUUCUGUGGGUUGAAACAGAUGAAUCAAAUAAAUUGCCUAUGGUGAUUUCGCACAUGUCUGCACAGAAAUACAUGAGGAAAGGGUGUGAAGCUUAUUUGGCUUAUGUAAUGAAUACUGAGUUGCCUCAACUGAAGUUUGAAUCAGUACCGAUAGUCUGUGAGUUUCUAGAUGUAUUUCCAGAGGAAUUGCCUGGGUUACCUCCGAACAGAGAGAUAGAGUUUGCCAUUGAUUUGUUGCCGGGUACUGCACCGAUCUCGAUUGCUCCAUAUAGAAUGGCUCUGACUGAAUUAAAAGAAUUGAAGGCUCAGUUGCAAGAGUUAACAGAUAAGGGAUUUGUGAGACCGAGUUUCUCUCCCUGGGGUGCUCCUGUAUUGUUCGUAAAGAAGAAGGAUGGUUCAAUGAGACUUUGCAUUGAUUACCAUCAACUUAAUAAGGUGACUAUAAAGAACAAGUACCCAUUGCCGAGGAUUGAUGAUUUAUUCAAUCAGUUAAAGGGGGCCACAAUGUUUUCAAAGAUCGAUUUGAGGUCUGGUUACUACCAGUUGAGAGUUAAGGAGUCGGAUGUGCCGAAAACUGCCUUUAGGACAAGGUAUGGACAUUAUGAGUUUCUUGUGAUGCCUUUCAGCUUAACAAAUGCUCCAGCUAUAUUUAUGGACUUGAUGAACCGGAUCUUUCGGCCAUAUUUGGAGAAGUUUGUAGUAGUGUUUAUAGAUGACAUUCUAAUUUAUUCUCGGGAUGAGUUUGAACAUGCCGAACACUUGAGAACCAUAUUGCAAAUCUUGAGAGAAAAGAAACUGUUUGCUAAGUUUAGUAAAAGUGAGUUUUGUCUUCGUGAAGUCGGAUUUUUGGGACAUAUAGUCUCAGGUUAUGGUAUUCGGGUGGAUCCAAGCAAGAUUUCCGCGAUCGUUGAUUGGAAACCGCCAAAGAAUGUAUCCGAGGUUAGAAGCUUUUUAGGCUUGGCCGGGUAUUAUAGACGUUUUCUUGAGGGAUUUUUGAUGAUUGCCUCUCCUAUUACUAAGUUGUUGCAAAAGAAUGUUAAGUUUGAAUGGACUGAAAAAUGUCAGCAGAGUUUUGAAAAGUUGAAAGCACGAUUGACUGAAGCACCAAUUUUAGCACAGCCUGAGCUAGGAAAGGAGUUCGUAAUUUAUAGUGAUGCAUCAUUGACAGGCCUUGGAUGUGUGUUGAUGCAAGAGGGUAAAGUGGUAGCUUAUGCUUCGAGACAGUUAAAACUGCAUAAGAAGAACUAUCCUACACAUGAUUUGGAAUUGGCCGCUAUUGCCUUUUCCUUGAAGAUUUGGCGACAUUAUUUGUAUGGUGAAAAAUGCCGAAUUUUUACUGAUCACGAAAGUUUGAAGUAUUUGAUGAAUCAAAAGGAUUUGAAUCUGCGACAGCGGAGAUGGCUCGAAUUAUUAAAGGAUUAUGAGCUAGUGAUUGAUUAUCAUCCGGGAAAAGCAAAUGUAGUUGCUGACACCUUGAGCAGGAAAUUUCUUUUUACUUUGAGAGCCAUGAAUAUGGGGUUAGCAUUGUCUGAUGAUGGGUCAAUCUUAGCAGAGAUGAGGGCUAAACCGUUAUUUCUCCAGCUGAUUUGUGAUGCUCAAAAGAACGAUAGUGAGUUGUGAACCAAGGAACUCAAUGCGAAUCAGGUUACGACUCAGAUUUUCGAGUUGGACUAGACGACUGUUUGAUGUUUCGAGACAGGAUAUGUGUACCGAAAAAUUAUGAAUUGAUUCAGAAAAUAUUAGAUGAGGUGCACAGUGGCUGUUUAUCAGUUCACCCUGGUAGCACAAAAAUGUAUAAUGAUUUAAAGAAGUUAUAUUGGUGGCCAGGUAUGAAAAGGGACAUUUCUGAAUUUGCAACCAAGUGUUUGAUUUGUCAACAAGUAAAAGCUGAACAUCAAGUGCCUUCAAGACUACUUCAACCGGUAAUGGUGCCUGAGUGGAAAUGGGACAAGAUUACCAUGGAUUUUGUAGCCGGUUUGCCUUUGACUCCUAAAAAGAAGGAUGCUGUUGGGUAGUGGUUGAUAGAUUAACAAAGUCAGCCCACUUUAUACCAGUACGUAGCGAUUACUCACUUGAUAAAUUAGCUGAAUUAUAUAUUGCUGAAAUUGUGAGGUUGCACGGAGUACCUAUGUCUAUAAUAUCAGAUAGAGAUCCGAGAUUUACCUCAAGAUUUUGGAAAAAGUUACAAGAAGCUUUUGGUAAAAAAUUGAACUUUAGUACCGCAUUUCAUCCACAAACAGAUGGUCAGUCAGAAAGAGUAAUCCAGGUACUCGAGGAUAUGCUUAGAUGCUGUGUCUUAGAAUUUGGAGGUAGUUGGGAGAAAUAUCUAUCUUUGAUUGAAUUUGCCUACAAUAAUAGUUAUCAGUCAAGUAUACAAAUGGCACCGUACGAAGCCUUGUAUGGUCGCAAGUGUCGGACUCCUUUAUAUUUGACCGAACUUAGUGAGAAAUAGAUUCACAGAGUUGAUCUAGUUAAAGAAACCGAAGAGAAAAUAAAAGUAAUUCGGGAUUGCUUGAAAGCUGCUUUAGUUCGACAAAAGUCAUAUGCAGAUUUAAAAAGAAAAGAGAUUGAAUUUCAGGUGGGUGAUAAAGUGUUCUUGAAGGUGUCACCAUGGAAAAAGAUUCUGAGAUUUAGCCGAAAAGGCAAGUUGAGUCUGCGUUUUAUUGGGCCGUACGAGAUUACUGAGAGGAUUGGACCAGUGGCAUUUCAGUUAGCCUUACCGGCAGAGUUAGAAAGAAUUAAUAACGUGUUUCAUGUAUCAAUGUUGCGACGUUAUCAUUCUGAUCCUUCACAUGUGAUUUCUCCAGCAGAAAUUGAGAUUCGACCGGAUAUGACCUAUGAGGAACCAAUAAAGAUUUUGGCUCGGGAAAUUAAAUAGUUAAGAAAUAAAGUAUAGCCUUAGUGAAAGUAUUGUGGCACAGACAUGGGAUAGAAGAGGCUACAUGGGAACCUGAGGAAGCUAUGAGGAAACAGUACCCAAACCUCUUUACCGGUAAGAUUUUCGGGGACGAAAAUCUCUAAAGGGGGGGAGAAUUGUGACAACCCGAAUUAGGGCCUAAUCAGAAUAGUGGUUUUGUGACCACAAAUUUGAGAUAGAAAUAAUUGUUUUAUAAUUAUUUUGGGGUUUAUGAUAUGACUUCAUGAUUUCAUGAAAAUUUCGUGAUGAAAUUCUAUGCAUUGAGCGCUUAAGUUGAGAUUAGGGACUAAACCGAAUAAAUUGUAAAACUCAUGUUUUAAAAGUUUUUAGCAUGAAAUUACUUUGGGAUAUUAACUAGGAGGUCUUAAAUAAAAAUUUGACCCAUUCCUAAGUUAUGGACAAAAGUUGGACAUAGAGGGAAUUUUUGGAAAGUUUAGUAGUAUGGGCAUUUUGGUCAUUUGUAUAUUAAAUGAAAUAAAAUGGGAAAAAUAACACAAAAUUGGUCAUCAUCUUCACUAGUUGCUGCCGAAUUUUCUCUCCUCCAUAGCUAGGGUUUCUUCAACUUUCAAGCUUCAUAGUAAGUGAUUUCAAGCCCCGUUUUUAAUGUUCUUCACAUUUUUGAAAUCCUCAUAGCUCGGUUUACCUAUUUCUACCAUUAUUUUGAGUUAGGGUUUAUGUUUAAAAAUUUACCCAUGAAUGAUAGGCAUGUAUUGUGUUGUUUGAUGGUAGAAUAUAAAUGUUUAAAGUUAGGAGAACGAUCUUUUCUAAGCAAUUUUUAACGAAAACGAGCAAAACGGCAUAAUCGAUAAAAAUACCUAUUGUUCAUAACUAUGUGUUAGAGUGAGAAUUUGAUGUUCCCAUAGAAGAGAAAAAUGAUCAGUAGGUCAUUAAACAUAAGAAUAAGGACUGAAAUUAAAUUUUCGAGCCUUGGGGAAAAAUCAUAAUUUUGUAAAAGUUAGGGGGCAAAAAUGUAAUUUUUGUAUAAUGUGAUUUUUGGAUUAAAAUAAAUAGUUCAAGUGUUAAAUGAGCUAAAUAUGUUAUUAUAGAUCAAGAAAGGCAUGGAAUCGACCCUCGAAUGGGGGAAGGAGAAAGUUUUGGACUAAAUUGCAAAAUUCCCAUAUUUUGCACCGAGGUAAGUUUGUAUGUAAAUAAUACAUUAAUUUCAUUUACAUUCUUAUAUUUCAGCCUAUUAUAUAUAUACUAGCUGAUGUUGAAGUAUAAAUCGACUAUUGGAAGAAUGGAAAUAAGUAAUAGAGAGAGAUCCCGGUUGAACAUUCGGAAAGAUUGAAUAAAAUAGAGGGAGCAUAGCUAGGUCACAUGUAUGGUGCUGAGUGCACAUCAUGUGUACAAGAAAGCUACGAGAUACUAUGUAGUAGCUAGGUCACAUGUGUGAUACGGGAUGUAUCCCAUGUAGACAAGAGAGCUACGUGAGAGAUAAAUGUAGCUAGGUCGUAUGCGUGAUUCCAAGUGAAGGACACCAUGUAGACAAGAGAGCUACGAGACAAAUCGGCUAGGUCGCAUGAGUGGUACUAAGUGCUCACCAUGUGUACUAGAGAGCCGAAUUAAAUGAAAUAUGAUGGUGGGGCUCGAGGAUUAAUCUAAAUUGUUCAACGGGAUGGCUUUGUGGUGACAUUGUAGUCAUGGGCCUAUACUUGUGAUGUAUGAAAUGUGGUGAAAAUGAUUUGUGAUAUAUAUAUAUAUAAGUUAAAAUGAGGUUAGUACAAAGAAUGUGUGAAAGAGUGAAAUUAGCAUUAAAACUGUUUUGGACAGUAGCAGUGACGUGAUUUUUAAAAACCACCAAAAAUAGAAGGAAUUUAAUUAUAGGUUUAAUAAGAUGGUAAAUUAAAGCUUAAUGAGUCUAUUUGCAUAUAAAAGAAACAGAGCAAGCAAAGGAAUUCUAUAUUUUGAGAUAUUUACAAUUGUGUGUGACUUGCUCAGGAUGACUAUGUGAUCCCCUAUUCCAACUUUUAAAAAUCAUUAAACAUUGUACAAAAAAAAUUAAUAAAUAUAGUUUAUAUGCCUAAAUUCCUUAUUGAGUCUAGUUUUAAAUGAAAUAGGUUUCAUGGUUAUUUGAAUUUUGUACUGAGAUAAAUUCAAUUCGUAGUGAAUAGAGGUCAGAUCAGUUGAGCUGUGUAACAGGGGAAACUUUAACUAAUAAACUGUACUAAUUGGCUGAACCAAAAAUUCUAAAAAAAAAUUAGUAAGAAUUUCUAUGAGUCUAGAUUCAGGGAAAUUUUACAGAUUUGAAUUUUUAGUUUCGUAACUCGAGUUAUGAUUUAUUUAGUGAUCAUGACGCAGAAGGUCAGCUUGAUCAAAUCGGAGUAAAUAGUAAAAUUAAAAAUAUGAUAUAAUUGAGUUAUAUUGUAAACAUAUUAGAUUCCUUAUUUGUUAUUUAUAUACUUACUUACUAAGCUAUAAGCUUACUUUCUUUUCUCUCAUUUGUCUUAUAGUGUCAUUCAGCUAGCACAGGAGUUAGAGAUCGUUAAAGAUCCGCCCGCACUAUCAAUACUCUUGGUAUUCGAACUCAACAUUUUGAAAUAUGGCAUGUAUAGCAGACUUAGUUAUUUAGUUACGUGUCAUAAUUUUCUAGGUUUAAAAUACUAAUUAUAGUAUCAAACUAAUCAUUUUUUACGAAGCCUUUGAAAUUGGUUUGUAUUGUUAAUGGCAUAUGUUAUAAUGAUUCAUGAUCAAAUUGAACGCCAUAUUUUUUUUGGAUUUUAUUUAAUAGUAUAUACUAUAAUUUGUUAAUACCUCGUACCUUGUUCCGGCGACGGAUACGGGUAAGGGGUGUUACAAUUUCGUAUAGAAUGGCAUCUGCAGAACAUAAAAAGUUAAAAGCACAGUCACAAGAGUUGGCAGAUACAGACUUUGUUCAGCCUAGUUUUUCUCCUUGAGGUGAUCUUGUUUUGUUUGUUAAGAAAAAUGACGGAUCAAUGUGGUUGUGUAUCGACUACCAAUAGCUCAACAAAGUCACGAUCAAGAACAAAUGUCUUUUGCCACAUAUAGGUGAUUUGUUUGAUCAGCUGAAAGCAACAACAGUGUUUUCAAAGAUUGACUCCGUUCAGGAUAUUAUCAAUUAUAGAUUGAAGACUCGGAUGUGCCAAAUACUGUUUUCAGAACUCGGUACAAACAUUAUGAAUUUCUUGUUAUUCCAUUUGGUUUGACCAAUGCACCUGCUAUGUUUAUGGAUUUGAUGAAUAGGACAUUCAAGCCGUAUUUAGACAGAUUUUUGGUUGUGUUCAUUGAUGAUAUACUUAUUUAUUCCCGAGAUGAGACAGAGCAUACCCAGCAUUUGAGAAUAGUUUUGCAGACUUUACGUGAAAAAUAGUUUUUCUCUAAGUUUAGCAAAUGUAAGUUCUGGCUUCAGAAAGUUGGAUUUUUGGGACACAUGGUAUCAGUGGACGAUAUUAGAGUUGAUCCAAGUAAAGUAUCGGCUAUAGUGGACUGGAAGCCUCCGAGAAAUGUGUCUGAAGUAAGAAGUUUUCUGGGUUUAGCAAAAUAUUGUAAAAAAUUUGUAAAAGGAUUUUCAAUGAUUACUACACCAUUGAUGAAACUGCUUAGAAAGAUCUCAAGUUUGAAUGGUUUGAGAAAUGUCAACAAAGCUUUGAUCAAUUGAAAGCGUUGUUAAUCAAGGCACCUGUGUUAGUUUAGCCAGAGUCCGGUAAGGAAUUUUUUAUUUAUAGUGAUGUUUCAUUGGACGGUUUAGGUUGUAUAUUGAUGUAAGAAGGCAAAGUGGUAGCGUAUGCUUCUCGACAGUUGAAAUCGCAUGAAAAGAAUUACUCGACUUAUGAUUUAGAGCUUCUUUAAAGAUUUGGCGACACCGCUUGUACGGAGAAAAAUGUCAUAUUUUCACGAAUCACAAAAGCCUAAGGUAUUUGAUGUCACAGAAAGAUCUAAACUUGAGACAACGUUGAUCGUUUGAAUUACUAAAAGAUUACGACUUGAUCAUUGACUAUCACUUAGGAAAGGUUAAUGUCGUUGUUGAUGCUCUGAGUAGAAAAUCUUUAUUUGCUUUUUAAGCUUUGAAUACAAGAUUUACGUUGAUUGAUGAUGGUUCUAUACUAGUUGAAUUAGAAGCUAGACCAAAAUUUUUGCAAUAGAUUUGUGAGGCUUAGAAAAGUGACACUAAAUUGAUCGCUAAACGAAAAUAGAUUGAGUCAACAUCUGAUUCAGACUUUCAUGUUGGUUUAGACAAUAAUUUGUAGUUCAAAAUAGAAUUUGUGUUCCAAGGAAUUCUGAUCUCAUUCAGAAGCUUUUACAUGAAGUUCACAGUAGUAACUUAUCGUUACAUCCUGGUAGCAAUAAAAGGUACAGUGAUUUGAAACAGAUGUUCUUGUGGCUAGGUAUGAAACGAGAGAUUUCAGAGUUUGUAUCAAAAUGUGUGAUCUGUCAGCAAGUAAAAGCUAAGCAUUAAGUACCUUUUGGUUUAUUACGACCUAUGAUGAUUCCAGAGUGGAAAUGGGAAUGUGUUACAAUGGAAUUUAUGUCAGGAUUGCCUCUAUCUCCGAGAAAGAAAGAUAUCUUUUGGGUUAUUGUAGAUCGUUUGAUGAAAUCUACACAUUUCAUUCUAGUGCGUACGAAUUUUUCACUUGAUAAAUUAGCAUAAUUAUACGUUUCUGAGAUUGUCAGAUUACACGGUGUGCCAGAUUCUAUUAUCUCUGAUAGAGAUCCAAGAUUUAUGUCUUGAUUCUGGAGUAAGUUACAUAAAGCUUUGGGUACUCAACUACAUUUUAGUAUACCAUUUCAUCUACAAACCGAUGCUCAAUCUUAACAAGUAAUCCAGGUACUCGACGAUAUGCUCCGAUGUUGCGUUUUAGAGUUCAAAGGUAACUAGGAGAAAUUUCUUCCGUUUGUUAAAUUUGCAUACAACAAAAAUUAUCAAGAGAGCAUUAAAAUGGCACUGGAUAAAGCUUUGUAUGGUCAAAAAUGUCGAACAUCGUAAUACUGGACUGAGCUGAGGGAGAAAAAGUUAUUCAGUAUUGAUUUGAUUUGAGAAACUGAAGAAAAAGUCAAAGUGAUACGUAACCAUUUGAAAGCUGCUUCUGAUCAUUAGAAAUCUUAUGUAGAUUUGGAAAGAAAAGAUAUGGAGUUUCAAGUCAGUAACAAGGUAUUUCUAAAAGUAUCGCCUUGGAGAAAAGUUCUCUGGUUUGGCUGAAAAGGAAAGCUUAGUCCGUGAUUUAUCAGACCGUAUAAGAUUAUUGAGAGGAUUGGACCAGUGGCUUAUUGAUUGGCUUUUCCGUCUAAGUUAGAAAAGAUUCAUAAUGUAUUUCAUGUAUCAAUGUUAUGAUGGUAUCGAUCAGAUCCUUCACACGUGAUUUAACCUAUAGAUGUUGAGUUCAGCCAGCAAUGACGUACAGUGAAGAAACAAUCAAAAUUUAGCUCGGGAAGUUAAAGAAUUGAGAACAAAAGUAUAGCUUUAGUUAAAGUUACCUGGAAACGUCAUGGAAUGAAAGAGGCUACCUGGGAACCAAAAAAAGCUAUGAAAGUUCAAUACCCGAACCUAUUUUCUGGUAAGAUUUUCGGGGACAAAAAUUCCUUUAGGGGGAGAGUUGUAACAACGCAUUUUUAGUGAUAUCAAAAAUAGUGAUUUCAGGACCACAAUUCUGAUGAGUAAAUUAUUAUUUUAUUAUCAUUUUAACAUCUAUGCGAAUAUAUUAAGGUCGUAUUAAAAUUUCGUUAAGAAAUUUUUAUGUUUAAGUAAUUAAUUAAGUGAAAAGGACUAAAUCAUAAAAAGGUGAAAAGUUGAGUUAUAUUAGUUAAAAGGGUCAAAUGACUAUGAAACUUUAAACUAAAGGACUUGAAGGGAAAAUAACCAUUUAAUAAAUUAUUGGGUGUGCAUGGCAUUUUUUAUUGAAAUUUUGUUAGUUUUUAAAGGUUAAUUUGGUAAUUAAGUAAAUAAACUUAAAACAAAAAGGAAUUAAAAGAUAGUAUCAUCUUUAGUCUUCUUCUCCAUUGAGAUUCAAGAGAGGAAUAGCCAUUGUUAGGGCUUUAAUGUUUAGCUAGCUUGGGUGUGUGCAUGUAAGUGAUUCCAAGCCCUAUUCCUAAUGAUUUUUAUGUUUUUGAGUUCGUUUUAGCUUAAUCUAGCUAGCCCUGAGGUCAAUUUGUAAAAUUGUUAAAGGUUUAGGGUUAUGCCAUGAAUGUUCUUGAAUGUUUUUUGAUGUUACAUGAUAGAUUAUGAAUCUUUGUUGAAAAAUAAACAAGUUUUGUUAAGUGAUUUUUGUUGAAUUUUGGAAUUAGGGACUAAUUUGUUAAAGAUAUAAAUUCUAGGGUUUUAUUGUAAAAUUAUGGUAAAUAUUAGUUUUUUCAAGGUCGCUUGCAUGUUUGAUUAACAUGGAUUUAGAUUAAAAUGGUUAGAUUUUAAGUUAUAAGCUUAAGGACUAAACUGUGAAAAAGUUAAAAUGUUAGGGGCAAAUUGGUAAUUUUCAUAAAUAUGAAAUUUGGAUUAAAUUAAAUACUAGAAAUAUGAAAUUGAUUUAAAUUCUCCAUUUAGAUCAAGAUAAACCACGUACGGACCUAGAUCAAGGAAAAGCAAAGGCUUCUGAAUAGUUUGACCUAACUACUAUGACCCUAGUCGUCAAGGUAAGUUUGUAUGAAGGUUAUUGUGUUAUUGUUACUUAAAUUGAAUGUUUGCUAUGUUACUCUUAAUGUGAAUGGAUUGAUAUAUAUAAACAUAUCAAUGUUAUGAUGAAUUGACAAUUAUCGAGUCCCGGUUGAACAUUAGGAAAUCUUAGGAUACAAAUGACAUAUCAUUUGGGAUUUCAUGUUUCGGGUGCUAGUCUUGAAUGUCCUAUCGAUGGAUGAGGUCCUAUAUUUUUUGUGAAUUCUCCACAGCUAGUGUGAGCAGCAUCCUGUAGCUUACAUUCGACCCACAGCUCGUUUGAGCAUGCCCAUUUCACAGCUUGUGUGAAAAAUAAUGUAAAGGAAAGGUUACGAUUGUAUGUAGAGGCACACCUUUGUGUGAGAUUCCCUAAGUAUCUGAGGUAAUUCUAAUUGGUUCAACAGGAAAGAAAAAGGAACAUAAUGGUAAGUAUGUAAAUGGAAUGAAUCAUGAUUUAAUGAAAGGCUUGAUAAACUAAAUAAUGUUGUAUGUACCUUAUGAAUGAUUUCAUUUAUGCUAUGGAUGAACAGACUAACUUGUGAGUUGGUGAUGUUGCAUAUGUUUACACUAAGAUUAUGGUAUUGGUAUUGAUUUGUACUUAUUAUAUGAAUUGUACUAUAAAAAUGGUAAGUUACGUUUUAAUUUUAUACGAGCUUACUAAGCAUUCAUUACUUACAUAGUUUCUUUCUUAGUUUCUUCCUUGUCAAAUUGUGUCAUUUUGGUUAUCUUAUUAUGCAUGGUUGUAUAGCUCUUUAUGGUAAGUUUGAAAUGGUAUGAUAAUGAUCAUAUUUGUGGUAUGUUUUGAUAAAUAUUGAAGUAGAACAUCAUGCUUGGAUUGUGGUAUUUUUUAUAUGCUUAGGUAGGCGUGAUUUUGAAUGUGUUUGAAGUGCCUUUGAAUAGCACAAUGGUUAGUUGUAUUAAGAUCCUGAAAUGGCAUUUUGGUGUAUGUAUUUGUUAUGUUUGGGUCCUUUUGAAGUGUGCUUAAAUGUGUUGAAAGGUCAUGCAUGAAAUGGUCUUGGAAAUGGCUUGAUUUUAGGUAAAUUUGGGUCCACACGGCCAGAGACACGGGCGUGUGACUCAGCCGUGUGAGACAUACGGCCUGGCGACAUGGCCCUGUGUCAUCUGAUGAUUUUCUUAUGUUGUAACAACCCGUUUAGUAAAAUCAAAAUAGUGGUUUCGAAACCAUAAACUCGAUGUCAAAAAAUUAUUUGAAUAUUAUUUUAAGUGUUUACAGCAUGAUAGCAUGUAUGAGUGAAAGUUUUGUGAAGUAAUUUUGUAACACCCCUAUCCCGUAACCAUCACCGGAAUAGGUAAGGGGCAUUACCGGACUUGUAACUCAUGUCAGAACAGUAAAAUUUUGAACUUUUUCUUGAAAUAAAGAUCAUUCAUUUAAAUAAGUACUAAGCACAGCCAGGGAUAAAAUUUAAACUUCUCUAAGUAAACAUUCAAAAGAUGCCAUUUUCGCAUGGCUUAUAUACAUUAACCAAAAAUAUUCUUCCGCCACUAGUCUAUUCUAUACAUGCCAUAAAAUAAUUCUAAACAUAACAGUAAUAAGCAGUGGAUAGUGAUAGUGUGACUAGUUGCUGACGAUCCCCGAGCCUGUAGCUUCGCAAUGAGAUCUAUAAAAUAGAGAAAACAAAGUAAACGGAGUAAGCAUUACAAUGCUUAGUAAGUUUUAAGCAGUGACAACAGAUAACAAUCAAAUUAUAACAUAGUUGUUCAUAUUUUUAUUUCACUCUUCCUUCGGGCAUACCAUCCCUUUACCGAAUAUGCACAUCUCAUCAUAUACAAUAGGCAGAUAAACUUUCACAUAAAAGUGAGCUCAUGUGACAUAGAUAUAUUGUAUGAUUUCACAUAUCCUCUCACACUGAUCCGAAGUCACAUAAUCAUAGGAAUAGUCUCAUAGAUUGCUCUCAUAUGCAUCACAUAACUACCUUAUGAUUUAGUUCAAAUCAAGCUCACAUAUAAACUUGGAGUACAUACCUGUUUAACCUUUCGCAUUGAAUAUAUUUAUAUGCAAUUCUUAUUACGAAGUCUUAUAGCUCUAACCUCUACUCGGAUUAUCGGUGAGACCUUUAGCUCAGACGAAAUCUCCACAUGAAGUUAUCGGGUCUUACCCAGACAAAAUCUCCACACGUAGUUAUCGGGUCUUACCCAGACAUAAUCUCCACACGUAGUCAUUGGGUCUUACCCGGACAUAAUCUCCACACGUAGUCAUCGGGUCUUACCCGGACAUAAUCUCCACACGUAGUCAUCGGGUCUUACCCGGAAUAUAUUUCCAAGUUUCAUGUACAUUUAAUCACAUGUUACAACAUUCACAUCGACUGUCAUAUUUGUAAUUCAUUUGCCUCAUCCAAAAAUCUAAUAAUACACACCUUUCACCGUUUGUCAUUUGGCCACAAUAUAUAUAUACACAUCUCGUACAUAUCUCACAUUAGCCAUUUGGCUUUACCACAUAUCCAUCUCAUACACGUUUCGCAUUAGCCAUUCGGCCUUACCACAUAUAUUCAUGUUCACAUUCAUCACAUUGGCCAUUCGGCCUUAUCUCAUAUAUGCAUGUUCACAUUCAUCACAUUGGCCAUUCGGCCUUAUCACACAUACGCAUGUUCACAUUCAUCACAUUGGCCAUUCGGCCUUAUCACACAUACGCAUGUUCAUAUCCAUCACAGUGGCCAUUCGGCCUUAUCACACAUACGCAUGUUCACAUUCAUCACAUUGGCCAUUCGGCCUUAUCACACAUAUAUAUACGGGUUCACAUUCAUCACAUUGGUCAUUCGGCCUUAUCACACAUACGCAUGUUCACAUCCAUCACAUAAAAUCCUAAAUCAAAAUAUAAAUUUUCAUGUAUUCACAUCACAAUUAUCCAAAUAUACUUCACAUACCACAUAUACUUUCACGUAUACACACUGCCUUGGCUGAAUCUACAUCUAUCAUUUUCCAAUAUCACAAUUUAGAAUUCACGUAUGGGUUUAAUCAAUAGCUUAUGACCAACUAAAACAAGUUUAUCAAGGUUUACAACAUAAUCUCAAAUUCAGCACAAGCUAUUUUUCCUGAGCAAUAGUCACUAAAUUAUUUAUAACUGGAGCUACAAAACUCCAAAUCACUUUAUGUUAAUUUUUCCUGAAUAUAAACUCGUAUAUCUUCCAUCCAUAAAAUUUCCAGAAUUUUAGGUUUGGCCAAUCAAUACCAGAUUUUUCUUAAAGUUUCUCCUGUUUCACUGUUUGACUAAUCUGACCACUCUUCACUACGAAUCAAAUUUCUCAUUUUACAGAAUUCAAAAUGUGUUUUAUUUGAUUUCAUUUGAAACUAGACUCAUUAAGGAGUCUAAGAAUAUAAAUUUUAUCUUAUAACCAUUUUUGUACAAUUUAUAAUGAUUUUCUAAAAACCGAACAGGUGAUUUCGGAGUCAUUCUGACACCAUCUCACACAACUUUAAAUAUCUCUUUCUAGGAAAUUUCUUUGCUCACAAGGUCUCUUUUAUAAGAAACUAGACUAAUUAAGCCUUGAUUACAUAUUUUAUGUAGCCUAUAAUUCCACACCAACAAUUUAUAGUGAUUUUCUAAAUUCACGUUACUGCUGCUGUCCAAAGCAAAUUAUUACAAUUUGCUCUUAAAUUUCCAAGUCCAAACACUUAUGAACUUACCAUUUGAGUUUAAGACAUAUCAUGGCCACAUCAUAUCUUAUUAAAUCAACUCAUUAUGUCCUAUUAUGAUUGAAUUUACUCAACGUUUAAUCACUUAAAACUUACCUCGGAUGUUGUCGAACGAUUUCGGCGGCUAUUCGAUCACUUUUUCCUUUCCUUUAUCCAACUUUGAUCCUCUAAGCUCUUGAGCUAAUUCAAACAAAUUUAACUUAUUAAAGUCUCAUUAUGCUAGCUUAUGGCCGAAUAUGACAAUGAAUUUGAUAGGUCAUAUGGCCACUUUUAGCUCAAAUACAAAAUGGUCAUACGCAUUUUUAAUCACAUUAAGCAAUUUAGUACAAUUAAUCAAACAUUUCCUCAUGUGCACCUUUAUGACCAAAUACACACAUCAUUAACCUAAUAUCAAUUAACUAAGCACUUAACAAAUUCUCCUUGAGCCGAUUGUCUAAGUCAAGAUAGGAUCAUCAUUAUGCUUACCUAUAGCCGAAUGUACAACAUCAAUCUAUGCAUUCAUUCGUGUGGCCGAACAUGCAUGUCUAUGUUGAGGCCGAUUGCAUACUUAAUACAUUCUACAAGUAUGGUCACUUGUAUUGACCAAAUACCAUUUUGUUUCAAGUUCAAAACUUGGCUAAUAUAUAUAUAUGCACUAUUAAAACAUCCUCUCCAUUCCAUCAAUUCAACACAUGCAUUACUCAUUAAUAUACAAAAUUAUAUUCGGCCUUAGCACACCUCUUGCUGGCCGAAUUUUUUCUCCAUCUAGCAACAUUUUAUGUACUAUGCCGAACCAAAAAGAUCAAACACCUAGCUUAAUCAUUUCCAAAACACUUAACCGGCCUUUGACCAAGACUUUAAACAAAGUCUAUGUUCGGCUAUCACACAUAUGGGCAUUAUUAGUUCAAAGUUUUAACAAGAUUAAUUUCUUUGAUCUUAACCUAAAUGACAACCCCCAUUGUUCAUCUAGAUUUAGCAUGAAACAAACACCAACCAAGAAAACAACACCCAUGGCCGAGUAUCAUCUUCAUCACAUAGCAAGAUUUAAACCAUAGGCUAGGUAGAACUCAAACUAACAUCAAAAAUAUGCAUGAAUCUCAUGGAACAACAUCAAACUUACCUUAACCUAGAUACAAGCAUGGCCGAAUCUCUUCAACAUUUCCUCCUCCUAAACACCAACCAACUGAACAUGAAGCAAGAAAAUCCUCUUCUUCUUCCUUCCUCCUUAGAAUUUUCAGCCAAAAGAAAUGUUAAAGGAUGGACACUUUUUUUUUCUUUGUUUUCAUCACCCUCCAUCUCCUUAUUUUAUUACUAACCCCUUAUUUUAUUAUUUCUAACAUAAACCAUUAACACAACAUGUUUAUGACAUGUUUUACCCAUCACCCUUUGUCAUGGCCGGCCAUUAGUAAUUAAAUGGGGGAAAUUGACAUGCAAGUCCACCCCUUUGAUUACAUGCACUAAUAGAUCCUUAUAGAUUAACCUAUCACAUUUCAAAAGUGUCACACAUAAGUCCUAUUAACUAAAUUCACAUGCAAUUAACUAAAUCAAAGCUUAAAACUUUCACACAUUCAUAUUCACAUAUUUUAGGCAAUAAUUAUCAUAUUCAAAUAAUUUGGUGACUUAGUUUAGCGGUCCCAAAACCGCUUUCCGACUAGGGUCACUUUAGGGGUGUCACAAAUUUUAUCGUUUGAAUGCUUAAUUCGAUAAAAAGGACUAAAUCACGUAAAGUGCAAAAGUGAUGUUCUAUUAGCUAAAGGUGUCUAAUAGCUAUAGAACCUUAAAGUAAAGGUCCUUAAGUGGUAAUUAACCCAUUUGAAAGUUAGUGGAUGAUAGUGGCAUGGCAAUUGGUGUAAUUAUUAAAUGUUUUAAAGGUUAAAUAAGUAAAUUAGUUAAUAAAGGUUAAUUAAAACAAAACAAAUUCAUAAUUUUUGUCCAUCUUCAUGCUAAUAGCCGAAUUUAACAAAGGAGAAAGCCAUUCUUAGGCCUUAAAGCAUUCGACCAACUCCUAGCUUAAUUGCAAGUCCGUUUUUGCUCGAUUUUUAAUGAUUUAUAUGUUUUUCUGAUAGUUGCAACUAGUACUAGCUAGCCCAGGGACUAUUUUGAAAAACUGUUAGAGAUUUUAAAUGAUUCCAUUGAUGAAUACAUGUGUAUUUUGAAGUUUCUUAAUAGAUUAUGAAUGCUUGUUGAUAGAUAUACAAGUUUUGUUAAGUGAUUUUUAGUGAAAAUGCAAAAUAGGGAUUAAAUUAAAAAAUGUUGAAACUUGAUGGUUAAAAUGUGAAAUCAAUGAAAAAUAUGGGCUGUUAGGGGUACAAUAGUAAUUCGGCUAAGCAUGGGUGUUUUAAAAUUUGCAUGAAUUUGUGAUUUUGUGUAAUAAGGACUAAAUUGUAAAAAUGUGAAAGUUUAGGGGCUAAUUUGUAAAAUAGCUUAAACGUAUAUUUUGGAUUGAAUUGAAUAAAUAUAUGAUUAAAUGAGUUGAAUUUGAUAUUAUAUAGAUCAAGAAAAAUUGAAUUUGGAAUUGGAUCUGAGAAAAGAUAAAGUAUUCGAUUAAUCGACAAUUUCAUUGUUAUUAAAUUGAGGUAAGUUCGUAUGUGAUAAAUUUCACUAUAACAGUAUUUUAAUUGCUUUGAUAUAUUAUAAGUUGUGAAUACGAGACUUCGGGUAAGUUCGACAUUAACUCUAUGACAAUUCAACAUCCGAAAUCCUGGUUGAACCUUGGGAAUAGUUUAGGAUACUAGUGACAUGUCAUUAGGGGAUAUGUAACAUCCGGAUUUUGGGCCUAGUCAGAAUAAUGGUUUUGAGACCACAAAUUCAAAGUAGAAAUAAUUAUUUUAUGAAUGUGUUGAGGUCUAUGAUAUGUUUGCAUGAUUGUAUGAAACUUCAGUUAAGAAAUUUUGUUGAUAGAGUGUCCAAUUUGAUUUUUAGGACUAAAUUGAAAAAGUUGCAAAAUAUGUGAUUCUAGAAGCUUUAAGCAUGGAAUAGCUAUGGAUUAUUAAUUAGACGCCCUUAAAUAGCAAUUUAACCAAUUUCUAUUUUUAUGGACAAAAAUGGGCAUGAAUAAGUAAAAUUGAAGGUUUAGUAAAAAGGGCAUUUUGGUCAUUUGGUUAAUAAAAGAAUAGAAAGGGAAAAUUAAUUCAAAAUUUGCUCAUCUUCUCCAUGCCAUAGCUGAAAUUCCUAAGGUCACCUUAGCUAGGGUUCUUCAACUUUCAAGCUUGAUUGUAAGUGCAUUCUAGCCUCGUUUUUAAUGUUCUUUACAUUUUUGAAGUUGUUGUCAACUGAUCUAGCCAUUUCUACCGUUUAUUUGAGCUUGAGUUGAUGUCUAAGGUUUGACCCAUAAGUGACAUGUAUGUAUUUUGAUGUUUCAUGGUAGAUUAUGAAAGUUUGAUGUGUAAUAAACAACCUUUACUAGGUGAUUUUUUAUGAAAAUACCUAAAAUAGACCUAUUUGUACAAGUUGUAAAAUGUGUAGUAAAAAUCUGAUUUGAUGAAAAAUGUGGGCUGAUAUGAGCAUGUGUGUGGGUCGGCUAGGCUUGAGUAACAAAGAAAUUGAAUGCAUUUCAUUUGACGAGCCUAAGGACUAAUUUGUAAAUAUGUGAAAGUUUAGGGGAAAAACUAUAAUUUUUCGAAAGUAUGGUUUUUGGAUUGAUUUGAACAAUUUGGUAAUUAAAAGAGCUAAAUUUGAUAUUACAUAUGAAGAAAAACAGAGUCCAAACCUAGACCGGGGAAAGAACAAGGUUGUGGACUAAAUCGAGUUAGUUAGCUAUAUUUUGUACUGAGGUAAGUUCAUAUGUAAAUAAUACAAUAUUAUGAUCAUAUUUUUAAUGCAUUAAUAUUGUAUGAAUUGUAUAAUUGAUUCGAUGAACAAAUUCGACAAGUUCCGAAAAGAGAGAGAAAAUCCUGUUUGAACCUUAGGAAUAGAAUAGGAUACGAGUGACAUGUCACUAGGACCCAUGUGAUAUAUAUGAUUAUGUGAUUUGAGUGCUGGUCAUGUACGUCCUACCGGUGGCUAGGUAGUUCGGCAUGUGUUACGGAUGCCUGGUAGCUUGUGUGAGUAGCUCGUGUAGCUACGCCUUGACCGUCUGCUUGUGUGAGCAGACCCGUGAUUAGCUCGAGAGCGAGCAUUUAUGUGAUAUGAAAUAUGAGGUAGCUUUGGCUAUAUAUGUUGCACUUGUGUGCAAAGACCUUCUGUGUAUCCGUUUAGUAUUCCAAGUGUUCAACGGGUAUGUCAAAAACGAGAAAAAGUAUGUUAAGUCACAAGUUGGUACAGGUAUGUACGAAAAACUCAUAAGAUUGAGCUUGUUAAGUGAUGAACUUUUAGUAAGAUUAAGAAUGAUAAAGUUAUGCUUAUGAAACUAUGAUGAUCAGUAUGUGAUUUAUGCUAAGUUAAAUUGUAUGAUAUUCAUGCUAAAUGUUGCUUAAUAUUGUUUAUUAUUGCAUAUGAACUUACUAAGCUCUAUGCUUACUCCCUUUCUUUCCAUUUUCUUAUAGUAUCGCCAAGCUAGCUCCAGAAUCGAAGGACGUGGGAGCUCGAUUCACACUAUCAAAUUAAUCUUUCGGGUAUUCAUGAUUUCAUAUUUUGAGUAUGGCAUGUAUAGGGACAUGGUCUUUUUGUGAUAUGUUUCAUUAUUGAUUUGGCCAAAUGUGUUGGCUUGUAACGGUAAUUGAUUCAUUUUGUAAAUGGUCAUAUGGUAUUGGCUAAUAUUGGCUAAGUAUAUAUAUACAUAUGAUGAUGCCUUUCAUGGAUGUGGUUAUCGCAUGGUUUGUAAUUAUAAGUAUGAGAUGUUGUAUGUAAUAGAAAUUGGCAUGAAAUUGAUGUGUGGAUGUCUUGGUUGUGGCUGAAUUGGUAAUGUGUAUAUGUUUGGAUUGGUGUUCUUUAAUGUUGUGUAGGUUGGUGCAAGUAAGGGUGGCAAAAAGGCUUGGUAAAUAACCCUAUUUUUGUCCACACGGGUAGACACACGGGCAUGUGUCUAGGCUAUGUGUGAUACACGGUCUACCCCCAUGGGCGUCGGAUCCGACCGUGUGUCCCCUGCACCUUAAUUUUAGUAUCAGAAUGCUCAGUAUUGAUUACACAAGUGCGAGACACGGCCGUGUGUCUCGACCGUGUGAGAGACACGGCCUUGGGACUUAGGCAUGUUUCCUGGCCAUGUGAAGUCUGCAUCUAUUUUGUGAAAAAUUAUAGAAUUUAAUCGUCCACACGGCCUAAGCACACGGGCAUGUGCCUUGGCCAUGUGACCUCAUUUAUUACAUGACGUCAUAAACAGAGAGUUACACGGGCUAAGGACACAGGAAUGUCCUAAGCCACACGGGCAUGUGUGAUCACAUGGCUUACCCACACGGGUGUGUGACCUUCCAAAGCAUGAAAAUUUUUUUAAGUGUUGUAAAAGUUUUGAAAGUUCUCAGUUUAGUCUCGAAUCACUCCCAAUGUAUGUUUUGAGCCUCGUAGGCUCGUUUAAGGGACGAUGCGAAUGAUUUUGAAAAGUUUUAAAUUUGCAUGGAAAUUUAUGUUUUGGUUCUACAUGAUUUCUUGUGUAUAAAUCCGGUAAUACCUUGUACCCUAUUCUGGCAUCGAAUACGGGUAAGGGGUGUUACACGAUACAUGUGUUGGUUUCGGGACAUGAUAUUAGCAUUUCGGGUGCCAUUUAUACUGAUUUGGCUUCGGGCCAUGAAUAUCGGCUGGUUUUGCUUUGAGCCAUUAUAUCAGUAUUUCAAACAUAAAUUAACUUGAUUUAGCUUUGGGCCAUGGUAUAGGUACUUAGUCUGCGAGACUCCUGAGUAUCCAACUUCCCAAAAUUUGUGCUGCUAUAUAAUGCAUAUAAGGUUAAACCAUGGAUCAUACCAAUAAAAUUACUUCUUUUCAAUUUUAAUGGAAAUAGGAACAUUAAUAAAAAUAUUAUUGAAAAUAAAAAAAGGGUCACCCAGGAGUAUUUAGCCUUGCAAGGUGGUCCUUGCUGAUUCACACGGGAUUCCACGUGCCCCAUGCUACUCGGGUCAGAGCGUAAGCUAGUGAUGCUUUCGGCUACUGGACUAUCGCCAUCUAGGGUUCGGCACUUCACCGCUUCGCCUAGCAGCACGACGCUUUUAUUGCUCUCCCACAACCCCAUUUUCACGGUUUAGGCUGCUCGGCAGAACAACUCAAAAGAUAAAGAAGUAUCGUUAAUUUCUUCAUGCUCGUUCCAAGCUAGAAGUACCAUUUGUACAAAUAAGAAUCCCCUUCGUUACAUGAUUUCUUC